CGCACCCAAUUGGACUACACAGUUACAAAGUGCAACUUGAAAAACGAAAACGAAGAAGUGUGAUCUGUCAAUAUUUGACACUUUUUUGGCAAAUUCAACUGCCAUCACCCUAAACUGACAGUCUGAUCGUUUUUGUUUUAUCUCAGUUUGUUUUUUUUUUUGGAAUCCUCGUAAUGGCCAACAACAACGAUAUUUUACGGAAUGUGCAGCAAAAAAGAGCCUCGAGCAACACCAAGUAUCAUUGCCUUUACGGCUAUUACUUUCUUGGACUGUCAAGAAAAAUGAAAAUUUACGUUUUUGCGCUGAAAUGAAUUCUUUCGAUUGGGACAUUUAUAACCUCGUGUUUCUGGAUGAGAUAUCAGUAGACAAUAAAGGAGUUUUACUGUUUCGCGGAUAUGGUGCAAAAGGGAAGCGGUUAGUUUUUCGAGGGGAAUUUGUGCGACGCGCAAGGGCUUCAUUUUUGUGCUUUCUGAGAUUGAACGGUGUACUGGACAGUUUUGAAACGGAAGGGACAUUCACACGAAUUAAAUUUUUCGAAAGCUGCCGAGAGUUUGCGCUCCGCAACGAUAAGGUGCAUCGCUAUCCUGGACCAAACUCUGUUUGGGUCAUGGAUGGAGCGAAGAUUCAUUGUGACCCAAACAUUUUUUUUAUAUUUGCGCUCUAUCGGCAUUAUCCCUGUAUUUUUACCACCCUACUGCCCUUUUUACAAUCCGCUGGAGUUGGUAUUCGGAACAGCUAAAUCACGUAUCAGAAGAGCUUAUCCAGAAAACACCAAAGCCAACAUGACUCAUGUUGCAUUGGAAACAUUCAUGGGACUAGAGAAUUACGAUUGCACGAAGAUAUUUUAUCAUUGCGGUUAUUCAGCUGGCGGAACAUUUCAUCCUUCAAAAGGCAUGUCGGGCAAUUUUGUAGAUAAAUAUGAAACUAUCUAACGUCUAUCCACCAAUUUAAUAUUCUAAAUUUUCUCCUUGAUUUAAUAAAUAAAUAUUGACUACAAUAAGAAAAGCA